rnacentral:rRNA from 1 species
GACGAACGCUGGCGGCGUGCUUAACACAUGCAAGUCGAACGGAAAGGCCCUGCUUUUGUGGGGUGCUCGAGUGGCGAACGGGUGAGUAACACGUGAGUAACCUGCCCUUGACUUUGGGAUAACUUCAGGAAACUGGGGCUAAUACCGGAUAGGAGCUCCUGCCGCAUGGUGGGGGUUGGAAAGUUUCGGCGGUUGGGGAUGGACUCGCGGCUUAUCAGCUUGUUGGUGGGGUAGUGGCUUACCAAGGCUUUGACGGGUAGCCGGCCUGAGAGGGUGACCGGCCACAUUGGGACUGAGAGACGGCGCAGACUCCUACGGGAGGCAGCGGUGGGGAAUAUUGCACAAUGGGCGGAAGCCUGAUGCAGCAACGCCGCGUGCGGGAUGACGGCCUUCGGGUUGUAAACCGCUUUCGCCUGUGACGAAGCGUGAGUGACGGUAAUGGGUAAAGAAGCACCGGCUAACUACGUG